GUGCGAAAGCGUGGGGAGCAAACGGGAUUAGAUACCCCGGUAGUCCACGCCGUAAACGAUGUCUACUAGCCGUUGGAGGACUUGAUCCUUUAGUGGCGCAGCUAACGCGAUAAGUAGACCGCCUGGGGAGUACGGUCGCAAGAUUAAAACUCAAAUGAAUUGACGGGGGCCCGCACAAGCGGUGGAGCAUGUGGUUUAAUUCGAAGCAACGCGAAGAACCUUACCUACUCUUGACAUCCAGUGAACUUUUGAGAGAUCAAUUGGUGCCUUCGGGAACACUGAGACAGGUGCUGCAUGGCUGUCGUCAGCUCGUGUUGUGAAAUGUUGGGUUAAGUCCCGUAACGAGCGCAACCCUUGUCCUUAGUUACCAUCAUUAAGUUGGGGACUCUAAGGAGACUGCCGGUGACAAACCGGAGGAAGGCGGGGACGACGUCAAGUCAUCAUGGCCCUUACGAGUAGGGCUACACACGUGCUACAAUGGCAUGUACAAAGGGUUGCCAAGCCGCGAGGUGGAGCUAAUCCCAUAAAGCAUGUCGUAGUCCGGAUUGGAGUCUGCAACUCGACUCCAUGAAGUCGGAAUCGCUAGUAAUCGUGAAUCAGAAUGUCACGGUGAAUACGUUCCCGGGCCUUGUACACACCGCCCGUCACACCAUGGGAGUGGGUUGCUCCAGAAGUAGAUAGCUUAACCUUCGGGAGGGCGUUUACCACGGAGUGAUUCAUGACUGGGGUGAAGUCGUAACAAGGUAACCGUA
rnacentral:rRNA from 1 species